UACGAAGGGGGCUAGCGUUGUUCGGAAUUACUGGGCGUAAAGCGCACGUAGGCGGAUUGUUAAGUCAGAGGUGAAAUCCUGGAGCUCAACUCCAGAACUGCCUUUGAUACUGGGGAGCUCGAGUCCGGAAGAGGUGAGUGGAACUCCGAGUGUAGAGGUGAAAUUCGUAGAUAUUCGGAAGAACACCAGUGGCGAAGGCGGCUCACUGGUCCGGUACUGACGCUGAGGUGCGAAAGCGUGGGGAGCAAACAGG
rnacentral:rRNA from 1 species